UUUUGUACUUUUCCUUGCCCCUAAUCCAAAAAUCUGUUUGCUCCUUAGGCCACAAUCAGAGCCUUGAUUGAAGACAUUGUGUUCUGUCUGAAGAGUAUUUAAGGUUUCCAAUAAAAUGUAUACCUGUCA